rnacentral:rRNA from 1 species
CGGCGGACGGGUGAGUAAUGCCUAGGAAUCUGCCUGGUAGUGGGGGACAACGUUUCGAAAGGAACGCUAAUACCGCAUACGUCCUACGGGGGAAAGCAGGGGACCUUCGGGCCUUGCGCUAUCAGAUGAGCCUAGGUCGGAUUAGCUAGUUGGUGAGGUAAUGGCUCACCAAGGCGACGAUCCGUAACUGGUCUGAGAGGAUGAUCAGUCAUACUGGAACUGAGACACGGUCCAGACUCCUACGGGAGGCAGCAGGA